GGGCCCGCACAAGCGGUGGAGCAUGUGGUUUAAUUCGAUGAUACGCGAGGAACCUUACCAGGGCUUAAAUGGGAGAUGACAGGGGCAGAGACGCCCUUUUCUUCGGACAUCUUUCAAGGUGCUGCAUGGUUGUCGUCAGCUCGUGCCGUGAGGUGUCAGGUUAAGUCCUAUAACGAGCGCAACCCCUACCGUUAGUUGCCAGCGAUUCAAGUCGGGGACUCUAACGGGACUGCCGGUGCAAACCGUGAGGAAGGUGGGGACGACGUCAAAUCAUCACGGCCCUUACGUCCUGGGCUACACACGUGCUACAAUGGUCGGUACAGAGGGAAGCUACCCCGUAAGGGGAUGCGGAUCUAUAAAACCGAUCUCAGUUCGGAUCGGGGUCUGCAACUCGACCCCGUGAAGCUGGAAUC
rnacentral:rRNA from 1 species